AAUUCAAUGAAUUUUUUAAAUCCUUAUCACAUUUCUAAUAAAAUGUCCAAAUUACUAUCAUCAAGAUAUAUAUUUUCUAGAAGUCAUUCCUUUGGAUAUCAUUACGAUAGAACAAUCGUCUCAUAAAUAACGGAACAUUCAAACAGAUCGCACGAGUCAAUCUGACCAACGCAACUACAGUUUCGAACCUAACCACAAUGAUCUCCACACCCUCAUGGAUGAACGCUCAUUCACCCGUCGAUCCCGAGCUUCUCUUACAAUGCACGUGCACAGCCUCUAGCUCUCAGCGGACGCAGCAAAGACGGAAGAAGAAAAGAGGACGAAGGAUAGAGCGAAGAACAGAGUGAGUGUUUCUCGGGCAAAUAUAAUAUACGAGUACGUGAAGACCCCAGGGAGUAACGUCCACUGUACCUUAGACCAUAAUCUUGGCUGGAAGAUGGCACCACACCCAUGGGGGGUCGCAGAAUACGUUGGACUGUGCACGAACCACUUCCAACGAGCACUAGUCACCUUUCACUUCCAACUAUUACUCCGCACGGGUGGAUUCUCUCCGUGCAUAGUUUAUUUCUCGAUUUAAGAAUCAUUGGAGAUUCUCUGUCCAAGGAACUUGCUACCAUAAAAUAUUCGAGGGAAAAGAUAUAGAUAAAUUUUUUAAUUAUAUUAUACAUUUGAAUUUACGAGUCUCCUAAGGUAAAUCACUAUAAGAUAAUAUACAUAAAGAAACAGAGGAGUCGUUAUGAUGAAUUCUACAGAACGUAUUACGAUCUUGGCGGGAAUGCGGCCAGGACACCGCGAAACGAGAACAUUUAUGACAAUGCCGGGAAUGAGAUUCGUCUCACUAUUAUGACACGGUCUAGGUUAUCUCGGUCCACAUAUUAUGCGCAAAGCACAAUCGAAACAGAAGGAAACUUAAUCCAGUUCUCUUCUUUAAAUCCAAACAUUUCAUCAACUUAUAAUAUUUUUCAUCAUUUAUAAUAUAAAAUUAGACAUUAAUAAAUUAUGCAUUUAUGCAUAAUUUAAAUAUACAAAAAUACACAUGAUAUACAAAAAAAAUAUUCUAAAUAUAAUAAAUAUUAUUAAUAUGAAGAAUUAUAUUGAAGAAUAUAAGAAAAUUUUUACCUAAGCUUUGUUUCUUAAUAUUUAUAGAUAUUUAUUUGGCCAAUUUAUACAAAUAUUUAUAUUUAUCAAUUUCAAAAUUGCCAAACAUAAACUUUUAAACUUCACUCGAGGAAUAUUAUGAAAAAACAUAAAAAUACUUGAUCUUCAAGUCAAAUUUUUCAACUUCAUUCUAUCUUUUUAAAUUUUCUUAAAAUUCAUGAUCUAUCGUAAUCCAAUCCAUCGGAAUCGUUCAAAAAUCGUUCGAGGAGAGGCUCGAACGAAAUUACAGACCUUCAAUGGAACCAAUCUAGAUCCCUGGCAGUUUGAAAAAAUUAAAAAGCAUCCAGAGAAAAAGAAAAGAAGAAUGUUCGUAAGCCACGAGGACUUAAGUGGGUUACCAAGCUUGUUAUCGAUACCCGAGCUCGGCGUUCGAUCGACUUUCAAGGGUGGUUCUCUUUGCAACGAUACUGGUUCGACCGGAUCGUAAGAAGGCUGAAUGAAGAGGACCUCGAGGAAGAGUAGGGCUGAAAAACAUGGAAUACGGAGAAGAUAGAGAAAGAGAGAGAGAGGUCUUUAUAUCCAUGGUGUCCGCAGAACAAUGUCCAUUCACUCGAAAUGGGAUCCAGCCUGAUCUGUGCUUCGAAUAUCCUCCCGAUUAAAGGGGAAUAGAAAGAUGAAACACCUCGAUUCCUCUUUGCUUCUUAAAGUGUAAAGGUAUGUUUUUUUCGAUUAUUUAAAAUUUUUAUCUUCAAAUUGAACUUAUUGUUCAUUGGAACCGUGUAUGUGUUCUUAAGUUAUUGUCUAUGUAUUCAUUUUGAAAAUAUUUUUUCAGAAAGGAUAUUGCCUGAAAAUGAGAAUUUUCAAGAUUACUUUGGAUAUGGCUGCUAUAAGUUUAUUCUACUCUACUUGUUCUCAAAUUGACACACAUACUUUAAAUUUAUGUAAUAGAUUGCCUCUGCAUGAUAUAAAAAAAAAUCGAUAAUUUAUAUAUGCAUGGAUUUCUUAAUAUGCAUAAUGGAGUAAGUGAAAGUAAUAUAAAUAACGUGCAAUCACUUUUCUCCGUUUCUUUCUUAUAUAUUCAAUAAUUUUGUUUUUAAAAUAAUUUUCCAAUUUUCAAUUAAACUUUAAACUCACCAUUAACGAUUCUCAUUUGACAGUGAUUCUUAGAUACACUAGAUAAAUUAUAGUUCCAAGACGAAAAUGAUAGAGGGAUAUUCUAAUUAGCGAUUAUAUAAAACUGUUCAUCUUGGAUACAAUUUUCGAAGGAUAAGGAAAGAAAGCUGGAAAAAUGAAAAGAGUUUAAGCUAUUAGGGGACUAACGAGCCUGGUGACUCGAGUAGAAAUCAGAGAAAGAGAUAUCUGGCUGCCGGUUGAUGAAUGGUCGAGAUCAUUCCUUAUAAGAAACGCUUAAUCUCCUCUGGAGGCAGGAACGGGUCCUCUCGCAAGAUUUAUCGUUUCAUCUCGCCUCUACCGGUUUCGAUUUCGUUUCCGUUUACAUGAUCCACCGAUCGAAUGAUCAAAAUUCUUCUAGAAAAUAUUGAAAUUUUCGAUUAUUAUUUUCGAAUUAUUAAUCUUUUAAUUCUCAUUUCACGAUUUAAUUGCGAAGAUUUCAAUUUUCUUUCUCCUCUUUUUCUGAGAUAGAUAUCGAAGAAGAAAUAUAUUAAAGAAGAAUGCAAAAUAAUGAAAAAGGCUAUGGACUACAGUAAAAGUUAGAAUCGCAAUAAAAGUAAGUGAAAUUAUACAACAAUUUCUAUAAUUAUAUUUCUCUUUAUUCCUUAAAUUAUAACCUAAUUUUAUGAAAAAUAUCUUUCACCUAUUAGAGUCUAAGGAAAAAUACUCGUCCGCAAUUGGUUGAUAAUUGUGACGUAUUUCGAAACAUAACCAAUCAAAAUCCUUUGCGCAUUGCACAUCACAAAUCGUUUCCUUUUAAACGAAUAAUGAAUAAACACAACCGAAAUCGAUCAGACUACCGUUAAUUCCAAAUAUGAGAAUAAGAACGGGAAAAAGAAUUAAUGGACUUAUAGGUAUGACAAUGUGACGAGAUAAGAUCAGAGGCCCCGUUUUACCUGUCCUGGAGACCAUACGGCGAUCAUAUCACGCGGAAUCGCAUCGUGUAUCUCUAGUGAGAGAGUCUCUUCGGGAGGAAAGAUCGAGUAGGCUUUUAUCGGAUUCGAUGAGCCUCGUGCGAUUAAUAUUAGGUCAUCCUAUGUGUAUAGAAUAGCAAUAAUGCAGUAAAUAUAUCGAAAAUUGAUAUUAAGUCAUAUAUAAAUGAUAUGAUAUAAUAAAUAUCGAAGAUUCGUGUGAUUAAUAUAGUAAGUAUAAUGAAUACAAAUUUGAUAAAAUAAUAAUGACGAGUCUCAUAUGAUUGAUAUUAGAUCAUCCCAUGAAUAUAGUGUAGUGUAUAUUAGGUUAUGUAAGUAAUAAGACAUAGAUUUGAUAAAAUAAUAGUGAUGAAUCUCAUAUAAUAUCAG